rnacentral:snRNA from 1 species
GUGUUCCCUUUGGCAGCGCAUAUACUGAAAUUGGAACAAUACAGAAAUUAGCAUGGCCUCUGUGCAAUGACAUGCACAUUCAUGA